rnacentral:tRNA from 1 species
AUCUAAAUAGUUUAUAAAAAUAUUGAUUUGUGAUUUCAAAGAUAUAGUUUUCUAUUUUAGAUA